ensembl:misc_RNA Metazoa_SRP Metazoan signal recognition particle RNA
GCCGGGCGUGGUGGUGGGUGCCUGUAAUCCCAGCUACUUGGGAGGCUGAGGCAGGAGAAUUGCUUGAACCCGGGAGGCAGAGGUUGCAGUGAGCCAAGACCAUGUCAUUGCACUCCCACCUGGGUGAUAGAGCAAGACUCUGUUUCAA